UACGAAGGGGGGCUAGCGUUGCUCGGAAUGACUGGGCGUAAAGGGCGCGUAGGCGGAUGGCACAGUCAGAUGUGAAAUUCCCGGGCUUAACCUGGGGGGCUGCAUUUGAUACGUGUUGUCUAGAGUGAGGAAGAGGGUUGUGGAAUUCCCAGUGUAGAGGUGAAAUUCGUAGAUAUUGGGAAGAACACCGGUGGCGAAGGCGGCUCACUGGCCCGGUACUGACGCUGAGGUGCGAAAGCGUGGGGAGCAAACAGG
rnacentral:rRNA from 1 species